rnacentral:tRNA from 1 species
GCCUGGGUGGCUCAGUCGGUUGAGCGUCCGACUUCGGCUCAGGUCAUGAUCUCGCAGUUCGUGAGUUCGAGCCCCUCAUCGGGCU